AUUGAACGCUGGCGGCAGGCCUAACACAUGCAAGUCGAGCGAGCGGCGGACGGGUGAGUAAUGUAUGGGGACUGCCCGAUCGAGGGGGAUAACUACUGGAAACGGUGUCUAAUACCGCAUACUCUCGGAUAACCCAUAUGGGAUUAGCUAGUAGGUGGGGUAAAGGCUCACCUGGGCGACGAUAUCUAGCUGGGCUGAGAGGAUGAUCGGCCACACGGGAACUGAGAAACGGCCCGGACUCCUACGGAGGCAGCGGUGGGGAAUAUUGCACAAGGGGGGCAAUCCGGAUGCAGCAAUGCCGCGUAGAUGAAGAAGGCCUUAGGGUUGUAAAGUACGUUCAGCGGGGAGGCGUUACCCGAAGAAGAAGCACCGGCUAACUCCGUGCCAGCAGCCGCGGUAAUUC
rnacentral:rRNA from 1 species